UAGAGAUAUGAUGGCGGCGACCACCAUCACUGACGACGGAACCUCUGGCGAGGGCUUGAAGAUCGUGUGGAACUAGCCCUAACAAAGGUUCAAGAUGGAGUACAGGAAGGCUGGGCUUGGCUUCCCAUACAUUCAUCCCUUGAAGCAAGGCGUGGUAUUGGCUUUCCACCUCUGCGUCUCCGCAUUCCAACACGCCAAGACCGACUCCAUGUCUAUUAUCCUUGCUUGCUCUCAUGUCUCGUUAUUAGAAGAAUGAAGCUAUUCAAUGUUCUAGAACACAACGGGGAUUUGACGGAGGAAGAAGAAGAAAAGAGCGAGAAGGAAUGUGGGGAAGAUGAUUGUUGAAGAGCUCAAUGGGAAGAAGGUUGAA